AUACAUGCAAGUCGAGCGGACAGAUGGGAGCUUGCUCCCUGAUGUUAGCGGCGGACGGGUGAGUAACACGUGGGUAACCUGCCUGUAAGACUGGGAUAACUCCGGGAAACCGGGGCUAAUACCGGAUGGUUGUUUGAACCGCAUGGUUCAAACAUAAAAGGUGGCUUCGGCUACCACUUACAGAUGGACCCGCGGCGCAUUAGCUAGUUGGUGAGGUAACGGCUCACCAAGGCAACGAUGCGUAGCCGACCUGAGAGGGUGAUCGGCCACACUGGGACUGAGACACGGCCCAGACUCCUACGGGAGGCAGCAGUAGGGAAUCUUCCGCAAUGGACGAAAGUCUGACGGAGCAACGCCGCGUGAGUGAUGAAGGUUUUCGGAUCGUAAAGCUCUGUUGUUAGGGAAGAACAAGUACCGUUCGAAUAGGGCGGUACCUUGACGGUACCUAACCAGAAAGCCACGGCUAACUACGUGCCAGCAGCCGCGGUAAUACGUAGGUGGCAAGCGUUGUCCGGAAUUAUUGGGCGUAAAGGGCUCGCAGGCGGUUUCUUAAGUCUGAUGUGAAAGCCCCCGGCUCAACCGGGGAGGGUCAUUGGAAACUGGGGAACUUGAGUGCAGAAGAGGAGAGUGGAAUUCCACGUGUAGCGGUGAAAUGCGUAGAGAUGUGGAGGAACACCAGUGGCGAAGGCGACUCUCUGGUCUGUAACUGACGCUGAGGAGC
rnacentral:rRNA from 1 species